GACGAACGCUGGCGGCGUGCUUAACACAUGCAAGUCGAACGCUGAAGCUCAGCUUUCGUUGGGUGGAUGAGUGGCGAACGGGUGAGUAACACGUGAGUAACCUGCCUCCUUCUUUGGGAUAACGCCCGGAAACGGGCGCUAAUACUGGAUAUUCACUGGUCUUCGCAUGGGGGUUGGUGGAAAGGGUUUUUCUGGUGGGGGAUGGGCUCGCGGCCUAUCAGCUUGUUGGUGGGGUGAUGGCCUACCAAGGCUUUGACGGGUAGCCGGCCUGAGAGGGUGACCGGUCACAUUGGGACUGAGAUACGGCCCAGACUCCUACGGGAGGCAGCAGUGGGGAAUAUUGCACAAUGGGCGCAAGCCUGAUGCAGCGACGCCGCGUGAGGGAUGGAGGCCUUCGGGUUGUGAACCUCUUUCGCUCAUGGUCAAGCCGCAACAAUGGUUGUGGUGAGGGUAGUGGGUAAAGAAGCGCCGGCUAACUACGUG
rnacentral:rRNA from 1 species